UUUAAAUUGAGAGUUUGAUCCUGGCUCAGGACGAACGCUGGCGGCGUGCCUAACACAUGCAAGUCGAGCGAUGAAACUUCCUUCGGGAAGUGGAUUAGCGGCGGACGGGUGAGUAACACGUGGGUAACCUGCCUCAAAGAGGGGGAUAGCCUCCCGAAAGGGAGAUUAAUACCGCAUAACAUUAUUUUAUGGCAUCAUAGAAUAAUCAAAGGAGCAAUCCGCUUUGAGAUGGACCCGCGGCGCAUUAGCUAGUUGGUGAGGUAAGGGCUCACCAAGGCGACGAUGCGUAGCCGACCUGAGAGGGUGAUCGGCCACAUUGGAACUGAGACACGGUCCAGACUCCUACGGGAGGCAGCAGUGGGGAAUAUUGCGCAAUGGGGGAAACCCUGACGCAGCAACGCCGCGUGAGUGAUGAAGGUUUUCGGAUCGUAAAACUCUGUCUUUAGGGACGAUAAUGACGGUACCUAAGGAGGAAGCCACGGCUAACUACGUGCCAGCAGCCGCGGUAAUACGUAGGUGGCAAGCGUUGUCCGGAUUUACUGGGCGUAAAGAGUAUGUAGGUGGGUGCUUAAGUCAGAUGUGAAAUUCCCGGGCUUAACCUGGGCGCUGCAUUUGAAACUGGGCAUCUAGAGUGCAGGAGAGGAAAGUGGAAUUC
rnacentral:rRNA from 1 species